rnacentral:rRNA from 1 species
UACGGAGGGGGCUAGCGUUGUUCGGAAUUACUGGGCGUAAAGCGCACGUAGGCGGCUUUGUAAGUUAGAGGUGAAAGCCCAGGGCUUAACCCUGGAAUUGCCUUUAAGACUGCAUCGCUAGAAUCGUGGAGAGGUGAGUGGAAUUCCGAGUGUAGAGGUGAAAUUCGUAGAUAUUCGGAAGAACACCAGUGGCGAAGGCGACUCACUGGACACGUAUUGACGCUGAGGUGCGAAAAGCGUGGGGAUCAAACAGG